rnacentral:rRNA from 1 species
UUUAAAUGGCCGCAGUAUACUAACUGUGCAAAGGUAGCAUAAUCAUUAGUCUUUUAAUUGGAGGCUGGUAUGAAUGGUUGGACGAGAUAUUAACUGUUUCAUUUAAAUUUAUAAUAGAAUUUUAUUUUUUAGUCAAAAAGCUAAAAUUUAAUUAAAAGACGAGAAGACCCUAUAAAUCUUUAUAUACAUAUUAUUAGAAUUUUGUAGAUUUUUUUUAUUAUAAUAAUUGAUUAUAUUUUAUUGGGGUGAUAUUAAAAUUUAAUAAACUUUUAAUUUUAAAAAUCAUUAAUUUAUGAGUAAUUGAUCCGUUAUUAGCGAUUAAAAAUUUAAGUUACUUUAGGGAUAACAGCGUAAUUUUUUUGGAGAGUUCAUAUCGAUAAAAAAGAUUGCGACCUCGAUGUUGGAUUAAGAGAU